AUAUUUAUGUUUAUUUGAUAAUUACGGGUGAGAUGUUACGUUGCGCAUCUCGAGUGUUUUUUGUUUACCCAUGAGCCCACUUAUGACGUUGCUGUGCGGUUGAGGCCUCGUGUGUGAAUCCACUUCGCAGGGAAUAUUUGUGUUGUCGACCUUUCACAGAAGUGGCAGUUAUUGGGCACAAGUCUUUACACUCAUGAAGGUAUGUUUAAGGAUAUUGAGUGGUUUCAAAUUAAUAUCAGAAGAGGAUAAUCCUCAUUAAUAUUGAUAAAUACACGGAACAUGAGUUUGUUGUGUUGGCGUCGGCCAUAAUUUGGAGUGUUUACUUUUCAUAUGCGUUUCAGCCAGUGUUAUGUCCAAUGGGCUGUGGAUUGGAUUUGUGCCGUAACUGAGAUUAUACGUGACGGUAACUACUGGGAAUCAUGGAUUGUGAUAGUGUGGCCAUUGAAGUUGAAACUUUGCUCCAAUAAAAGACUGUUGCAGCUGAUGGCUUUUCCUUGAUCUCCCAGUACAUUUCAACUUCAUCGCCAUGGGUGUGCAAGGGGACCUCAACGCCCUCAAGAAACAGAGGGGAACUGCUAAAGGAAAGUUCACCAGGAAGCCAGUGUUAUGUCCAAUGGGCUGUGGAUUGGAUUUGUGCCGUAACUGAGAUUAUACGUGACGGUAACUACUGGGAAUCAUGGAUUGUGAUAGUGUGGCCAUUGAAGUUGAAACUUUGCUCCAAUAAAAGACUGUUGCAGCU
rnacentral:misc_RNA from 1 species